AAACUAUUGCCACCAACAUCAGAGCGUCAGGCUCAUGAAAUCAUGUUCAAUCGCUUAUUCAGGAGGCGAAAUAACCUCAAAUUAAUGACGCUGAAAUCGUAUGAUUCCGUGACCGGAGUUAGCGGUUCAUGGCUAGCCACUAAGCGAACGCCUGCUAAGCAGCCGGGCAAGAGCCGUCAGACUUCUUCUCAAAGCCGUUCCCGCCAUAGGAAUGGAACGCUGCCGCAAACUGAUCUGACAAGCUGCUACGUUUUGCAGUCCGCCUCUUUUCAUCAGCAGAAUCUCACCGGUCUGGUGCUCAUUUCCACCCCAACACUCAAGACGUCUGUGUUGAAAAUCUCGUCACAAGGCCCGAGCUCCGCAGUAUGCGGAAAGAGGUAAACGCCCGCUCACUUGCAUUAGACAGAACCACCCCCUCAAAACAGGCUCAUUUUCAGCAUGACACCAAAUGAAAGAGGCAUCAAGUAAAUCUGAGGGUAGUUUCCUACUUGCAGGCAGUCUUGCGUGCAGCAUGGGUGAUCUAGUUGGCAAUGAUUUGGGAGCGGUGCGCCGAGUGGCGCUUAACUGGCUCGUUGAUGGCUUAAACGAUUUCAUCACUAUCAAGGACGGCGACGGCGGCUUCCCGCGUUGCUCCGCCAGAUGCUCGGGGACCCGCUCGCUUCUUCACGCUGACUAUCCUCAAACCGACUGUUAUUUGGAGUCACCGUACUCCGUCAAGCUUUUUAUAAGGGCUUUUUUUCUUCUUCCUCUCCCGUCCUGCGUUAAUUUGUACAAAUCGUUUGGUAAGAAAGAAUGAAAAAUGAUACGAUGAGAAUGUCAUGAGAAUCGUAUGAGAGAAUUUUUU